rnacentral:rRNA from 1 species
UACGUAGGUGACAAGCGUUGUUCGGAUUUACUGGGCGUAAAGGGCGCGCAGGCGGCUUUGUUUGUCAGGCGUGAAAGCCCCGGGCUUAACCUGGGAACUGCGUUUGAUACGGCAGGGCUAGAGUUCGGGAGAGGAGAGUGGAAUUCCCAGUGUAGAGGUGAAAUUCGUAGAUAUUGGGAAGAACACCGGUGGCGAAGGCGGCUCUCUGGACCGAUACUGACGCUGAGGCGCGAAAGCGUGGGGAGCAAACAGG